UACAGAGGGUGCGAGCGUUGUUCGGAAUUACUGGGCGUAAAGCGCACGUAGGCGGAUUGCUAAGUCAGGGGUGAAAUCCUGGAGCUCAACUCCAGAACUGCCUUUGAUACUGGCGACCUUGAGUCCGGGAGAGGUGAGUGGAACUGCGAGUGUAGAGGUGAAAUUCGUAGAUAUUCGCAAGAACACCAGUGGCGAAGGCGGCUCACUGGCCCGGUACUGACGCUGAGGUGCGAAAGCGUGGGGAGCAAACAGG
rnacentral:rRNA from 1 species